GACGGAGGAUGCAAGUGUUAUCCGGAAUCACUGGGCGUAAGGCGUCUGUAGGUGGUUUAAUAAGUCAACUGUUAAAUCUUGAGGCUCAACCUCAAAAUCGCAGUCGAAACUAUUAGGCUAGAGUAUGGUAGGGGUAAAGGGAAUUUCCAGCGGAGCGGUGAAAUGCGUAGAGAUUGGAAAGAACACCGAUGGCGAAGGCACUUUACUGGGCUAUUACUAACACUCAGAGACGAAAGCUAGGGUAGCAAAUGGG
rnacentral:rRNA from 1 species